AUUGAACGCUGGCGGCAUGCUUUACACAUGCAAGUCGAACGGUAACAGGCCUUCGGGUGCUGACGAGUGGCGCACGGGUGAGUAAUGCAUCGGAACGUGCCCAGAGGUGGGGGAUAACGCAGCGAAAGCUGUGCUAAUACCGCAUGUGAUCUGAGGAUGAAAGCGGGGGACCAGGCAGCAAUGUUUGGCCUCGCGCCUUUGGAGCGGCCGAUGUCAGAUUAGGUAGUUGGUGGGGUAAAGGCCUACCAAGCCGACGAUCUGUAGCUGGUCUGAGAGGACGACCAGCCACACUGGGACUGAGACACGGCCCAGACCCCUACGGGAGGCAGCAGUGGGGAAUUUUGGACAAUGGGCGGAAGCCUGAUCCAGCAAUGCCGCGUGCGGGAAGAAGGCCUUCGGGUUGUAAACCGCUUUUGUACGGAACGAAAAGGCUCUGGCUAAUACCUGGGGCUGAUGACGGUACCGGAAGAAUAAGCACCGGCUAACUACGUG
rnacentral:rRNA from 1 species